rnacentral:rRNA from 1 species
UCCUACGGGAGGCAGCAGUGGGGAAUAUUGCACAAUGGGGGAAACCCUGAUGCAGCGACGCCGCGUGAGCGAAGAAGUAUUUCGGUAUGUAAAGCUCUACCAGCAGGGAAGAAAAUGACGGUACCUGACUAAGAAGCUCCGGCUAAAUACGUGCCAGCAGCCGCGGUAAUACGUAUGGAGCAAGCGUUAUCCGGAUUUACUGGGUGUAAAGGGAGCGUAGACGGCAGAGAAAGUCUGAAGUGAAAGCCCGCGGCUCAACCGCGGAACUGCUUUGGAAACUUUUCGGCUAGAGUACCGGAGAGGUA